rnacentral:rRNA from 1 species
AUCAACUUUCGAUGGUAGGAUAGAGGCCUACCAUGGUGGUAACGGGUAACGGGGUGUUAGGGCACGACACCGGAGAGGGAGCCUGAGAAACGGCUACCACAUCCAAGGAUGGCAGCAGGCGCGCAAAUUACCCAAUCCCGACACGGGGAGGUAGUGACAAUAAAUAACAAUACGGGGUCCUUUCGGGUUUCGUAAUUGGAAUGAGUACAAUUUAAAUCUCUUAACGAGGAACAAUUGGAGGGCAAGUCUGGUGCCAGCAGCCGCGGUAAUUCCAGCUCCAAUAGCGUAUAUUAAAGUUGUUGCAGUUAAAAAGCUCGUAGUUGAAUUUCGGGAUUAGUACGCUGGUCGUGCCUUCGGUAUGUACUGGUGUUACUGGUUCCUACCUUCUGACGAACCGUCAUGUCAUUAAUUUGGUGUGGCGGGAAAUCAGGACUGUUACUUUGAAAAAAUUAGAGUGUUUAAAGCAGGCUCGCGCUUGAAUACAUUAGCAUGGAAUAAUGAAAUAGGACGUUCGAUCCUAUUUUGUUGGUUUCUAGGAUUGACGUAAUGAUUAAUAGGGAUAGUUGGGGGCAUUAGUAUUCAAUUGUCAGAGGUGAAAUUCUUGGAUUUAUUGAAGACUAACUACUGCGAAAGCAUUUGCCAAGGAUGUUUUCAUUAAUCAAGAACGAAAGUUAGGGGAUCGAAGACGAUCAGAUACCGUCGUAGUCUUAACCAUAAACUAUGCCGACUAGGGAUCGGAUGAUGUUAAUUUUUUAAUGACUCAUUCGGCGCCUUACGGGAAACCAAAGUGUUUGGGUUC